UGUGGUCUAGUGGUUAGGAUUCGUGGUUUUCACCCACGCGGCCCGGGUCCGAUUCCCGGCA
rfam:Strongyloides papillosus strain LIN genome assembly, scaffold: SPAL_contig0002621